GAUGAACGCUGGCGGCGUGCUUAACACAUGCAAGUUGAACGAAGCUGCCCAAAGGAAGUUUUUGGAUGGAAUUUAGGUAGACUUAGUGGCGGACGGGUGAGUAACGCGUGGAUAACCUGCCUUAUACAGGGGGAUAACGGAGAGAAAUUUCCGCUAACACCGCAUAAGACCACAGCACCGCAUGGUGCAGGGGUAAAAUAUUUAUAGGUAUAAGAUGGAUCCGCGUCCGAUUAGCUAGUUGGUGAGGUAAAGGCCCACCAAGGCGACGAUCGGUAGCCGGCCUGAGAGGGUGAACGGCCACAUUGGGACUGAGACACGGCCCAAACUCCUACGGGAGGCAGCAGUGGGGAAUAUUGGACAAUGGGGGAAACCCUGAUCCAGCGACGCCGCGUGAGUGAAGAAGUAUUUCGGUA
rnacentral:rRNA from 1 species